UUUUAUGAGAGUUUGAUCCUGGCUCAGGACGAACGCUGGCGGCGUGCCUAAUACAUGCAAGUCGAACGCUUUUUCUUUCACCGGAGCUUGCUCCACCGAAAGAAAAGGAGUGGCGAACGGGUGAGUAACACGUGGGUAACCUGCCCAUCAGAAGGGGAUAACACUUGGAAACAGGUGCUAAUACCGUAUAACAAUCGAAACCGCAUGGUUUCGGUUUGAAAGGCGCUUUUGCGUCACUGAUGGAUGGACCCGCGGUGCAUUAGCUAGUUGGUGAGGUAACGGCUCACCAAGGCAACGAUGCAUAGCCGACCUGAGAGGGUGAUCGGCCACAUUGGGACUGAGACACGGCCCAAACUCCUACGGGAGGCAGCAGUAGGGAAUCUUCGGCAAUGGACGCAAGUCUGACCGAGCAACGCCGCGUGAGUGAAGAAGGUUUUCGGAUCGUAAAACUCUGUUGUUAGAGAAGAACAAGGAUGAGAGUAGAAUGUUCAUCCCUUGACGGUAUCUAACCAGAAAGCCACGGCUAACUACGUGCCAGCAGCCGCGGUAAUACGUAGGUGGCAAGCGUUGUCCGGAUUUAUUGGGCGUAAAGCGAGCGCAGGCGGUUUCUUAAGUCUGAUGUGAAAGCCCCCGGCUCAACCGGGGAGGGUCAUUGGAAACUGGGAAACUUGAGUGCAGAAGAGGAGAGUGGAAUUCCAUGUGUAGCGGUGAAAUGCGUAGAUAUAUGGAGGAACACCAGUGGCGAAGGCGGCUCUCUGGUCUGUAACUGACGCUGAGGCUCGAAAGCGUGGGGAGCAAACAGGAUUAGAUACCCUGGUAGUCCACGCCGUAAACGAUGAGUGCUAAGUGUUGGAGGGUUUCCGCC
rnacentral:rRNA from 1 species